UGCCAUCUGCAGCCCCCAUCAAGACAGUAGCCACAUCUAUGGAACCCACUGCAAAGGCCAUUUUGGACACCUUGGGCUUACAACCAAGUCCAGGGUCCAACCUAACAUCCCAGAGCCAGAACAACAUCUGUGGUAUUUGCAUUGGAUGUAUUGCAAGCAACCCUUCAUCUUCAUAGAAUCAUAGGGUUGGAAGAGGCAUCAGAAGGUCAUCAAAUCCAAACCCCUGCUACAGGUAGGACCAAUCCCAACUCAGUCAUCUGAGUCAGGGCAUCCUCAUGUCAUGACUUAAAAACAUCCAGAGAUGGAGAUUCCACCACCUCUCUAGGGAACCCAUUCCAGUGCUUCACCACCCUCCUUGUGAAAUAGGCCCUAAAUCUCCCCCACCGAAAAAAUGAGACCAUUGCUUAUUGUUCUGUCAUCUGUCACUGCUGAGAACAGCUUCUCACCAUCCUCUUGGAAAAACCCCCUUUCAUAGAGUACUAUGGUACUUGGGAUGGUACUUGGUCCUGCUGUGAAGGCAGGGGACUGGACUCGAUGACCUUGCAAGGUCCCUUCCAGUUCUAGGAGAUAGGCAAUCUCCAUUAUAGAGUAGAAGGCUGCUAUAAAAUCCCUCCUCACUGUUCUCUUCUAUAGACUAAAUAAGCCCAAAUCCCUCAUCCUUGCCUCAUAAAUCAUGUGGUUUAGUCCCUUAAUCUUUUUUGUUGCACUUUAGUGGACUUUCUCCAAUGCCUCCACAUCCUUUCUGUAAUGGGGGCCCCAGAAUUGGAUGCAGUACUCCAAAUGUGGACUCACCAGUGCCAAAUAAACAGGAGUAAUCACUUCCCUAGACCUGCUGGCAAUACUACUACAGAUGGACCCCAAUAUGCCGUUAGCCUUCUUGGCUAAAAGGGCACAAUAUUGACUCAUAUCCAGCUUCUCAUACACUGUAAUCCCUAGGUCCUGUUCUUCUGAACUGCUGUUUAGCGAGUCAGUCCCCAGCUUAUAGCAGUGCUUGGGAGUCUUCCAUUCAGUUGGACCUCAUCACAUUUCUUUUGGCUCAGAUCUCUCUGGACCUUAUCCCUACCUUCCAAUGUGCCUACCUCUCCCCCUAGUUUAGUAACAUCUGCAAACUUUCAGAGGGUGCAAUCCAUCCCCUCAUCCAGGUCACUAAUAAUGAUGUUGAACGAAACCAGUGCAAGAACCAACUCUUGGGGCACUCUGCUUGAUACUGACCACCAACCAGACAUCACAUCAUUGAUCACUAUCUGUUGAACCUGACUAGUUAGCCAUCUUUUUAGCCACCUUUCAGUCCAUUUAUCCAAUCCAUACUAGUUUAACUUCUUUAUGCUGGAAGUGCAAUGGCUCCUAUUUCUAGUAGAGGAGCUUCCUCAGGAGCACGGGGCAAGGGUUUUUACUUUUGGUAUUUUCUAAUGCAAAAGGCCAAGGAUAGUCUCAGGCCCAUUCUGGACCUGUGAGAAACAAAAGUUCUUCUUUGAAUGAUGUCCCCAUAGGUGCUCCACUGUUGGUGUUGGGCUCGUCCCACACCGCAGAUCAGAAUCUUUUUCUAGCUGUGUCUAAUUGGGUUGCGCAUGCAUGAGAGUGCCAUUUGCACCAUUGGAGCUCAUGCAUGUGGCCCAACUCCCCUCAAUCCCUUUUUGACUGCCCUCCAUCACAGACGGAGCUCUAUCCCUCUCCUCCUCUUUAGUUCUCUGAAGAUAGGAAUUGAGUUGUAAUUAGUUAAAAUGGUUAGUUCUUUGUUAUUUUUAUAGUUAGUAAUCAUUAGUUAAAAAACCAUUUUUUUCUUCAUAACUGUUGUAAAUAGUUAAGGCACAGCUCCUAAGGGACAGCACACUGCCAGCCUUGACCCUAAGGCCUCCUCUUCAUUA